UACGUAGGGGCCGAGCGUUGUCCGGAAUGAUUGGGCGUAAAGCGUCCGCAGGUGGCUAUGUAAGUCUGCUGUUAAAGAGUGAGGCUCAACCUCAUAAGAGCAGUGGAAACUACAUAGCUAGAGUGCGUUCGGGGCAGAGGGAAUUCCUGGUGUAGCGGUGAAAUGCGUAGAUAUCAGGAAGAACACCGGUGGCGAAAGCGCUCUGCUAGGCCGCAACUGACACUGAGGGACGAAAGCUAGGGGAGCGAAUGGG
rnacentral:rRNA from 1 species